UUAAUACAAGAUGGCAUCAUGAGUCCACAUGUUCACAUGAUUAAAGGUAUUCCGGUAGACGAUGGGGAUGCGUUCCAUUAGAUAGUAGGCGGGGUAACGGCCCACCUAGUCUUCGAUGGAUAGGGGUUCUGAGAGGAAGGUCCCCCACAUUGGAACUGAGACACAGUCCAAACUCCUACGGGAGGCAGCAGUGAGGAAUAUUGGUCAAUGGGCGAGAGCCUGAACCAGCCAAGUAGCGUGAAGGAUGACUGCCCUAUGGGUUGUAAACUUCUUUUAUAAAGGAAUAAAGUCGGGUAUGCAUACCCGUUUGCAUGUACUUUAUGAAUAAGGAUCGGCUAACUCCGUGCCAGCAGCCGCGGUAAUACGGAGGAUCCGAGCGUUAUCCGGAUUUAUUGGGUUUAAAGGGAGCGUAGAUGGAUGUUUAAGUCAGUUGUGAAAGUUUGCGGCUCAACCGUAAAAUUGCAGUUGAUACUGGAUAUCUUGAGUGCAGUUGAGGCAGGCGGAAUUCGUGGUGUAGCGGUGAAAUGCUUAGAUAUCACGAAGAACUCCGAUUGCGAAGGCAGCCUGCUAAGCUGCAACUGACAUUGAGGCUCGAAAGUGUGGGUAUCAAACAGGAUUAGAUACCCUGGUAGUCCACACGGUAAAC
rnacentral:rRNA from 1 species